rnacentral:sRNA from 1 species
GAGCAGAACGGUGCCAUUGCAGAUCAACACGCACUUUAAAUAAUCAAAACCCCUUAUCUUUCCCCUGGGAAGGAGGAGGCCGAGGAAGGCUGUGUUUCUGACUCACACCGGGGAGUCGGGGGAGUCGUAAACAACCCCGAAGAGAACAGCCAGGCCUGUUCCCGCAAGCCCAGACAAUGCCGGUGGAGGAAUUUGUGGCUGGCUGGAUCUCUGGUGAGACAUUUUUCUUCCUUCUGUCACAUCACACCCAAUGGUAGGUCACUCCCUGGGGAAGAUGGGUGACAUGGGAGGAGCAGAGACCAAAGUCUGAGUUCUGGCCUGGCAGGAGGAUCACUUGAGCCCAGGAGUUUGAGACCAGUCUGGGCAACAUAGGGAGGCCCCUGUCUCUACAAAAAAUCAAAAUAAUUAGCUGGGCAUGGUGGCUCACACCUGUAGUCCCAGCUACUCAGGAGGAUUGCUUGAACUCAGGAGUUCAAGGCUGCAGUGAGCUAUGACUGCACCACUACACUCCAGCCUGGGUGACAGAAUGAGACCCUGCC